AUUGAACGCUGGCGGCGUGCUUAACACAUGCAAGUCGAGCGGUAACAGGUGUAGCAAUACAUGCUGACGAGCGGCGAACGGGUGAGUAAUGCUUCGGAAUCUUCCUCGUAGUGGGGAACAACCUGGGGAAACUCAGGCUAAUACCGCAUACGAACUACGGUUGAAAGCAGGGGAUCGCAAGACCUUGCGCUAUGAGAUGAGCCGAAGUCGGAUUAGCUAGUUGGUGAGGUAAAGGCUCACCAAGGCGACGAUCCGUAGCUGGUCUGAGAGGACGACCAGCCACACUGGGACUGAGACACGGCCCAGACUCCUACGGGAGGCAGCAGUGGGGAAUAUUGGACAAUGGGCGCAAGCCUGAUCCAGCGACGCCGCGUGUGUGAAGAAGGCCUGCGGGUUGUAAAGCACUUUAGUGGGGAUGAAAAGCCAAGGGCUAAUACCCUUUGGUCUUGACCUAACCCAAAGAAAAGACACCGGCUAACUCUGUGCCA
rnacentral:rRNA from 1 species